UAGCCCAUCAUCCAUAGUUUACCCAAAUUAGUCCAAAAUCUGUUUGUUUUGUUUUCAAAUUCGUCAAAAUCAAAUCCCCCUUUACUUUAAAGUGUUUUAUUAGUCAAAAUCUGUUUUGAUUUGUAUUUUUAAGUGUCUUGAGUCAAGUUAGUGUUGGAAAUGUGCCCUAAAACCAAUCAUGUGAUGAUACUUUACGGACAUUUCACAUGUUAAACUAAUCUAGUUUAAUAUCAAGGGCAAAGAUUAUUGUUUUUAAGCCGUCUCAUAUAAAUGUUAUAUGCUUAAACGAUAAGUCCAAGGAAUAUGUAAUUAGG
rnacentral:lncRNA from 1 species